rnacentral:snoRNA from 13 species
UCCCAAUGAGGAAACGCUCACACGUCUACUGCCUGUCCUGUCCCAGAGCUGCAAAGCUGAAUCCGCUGGGCUGCUGGGGGAAAAGAGGAGACCUGUUCCAGAACGAACUGUCUGAGGGAC